rnacentral:rRNA from 1 species
GUCUAUGGCCAUGCCACCUGAACAAGCCUGAUGUCUGAUCUUGGAAGCUAAGCAGGGCCAGGCCUGGUUAGUACUUGGAUGGGAGACCACCUAGGAAGACCAGGUGCUAUAGGCA